CAUCUACUCCCUCCGUUCCGAAUUACUUGUCACAGAUAUGGAUGUAUCUAGAUAUAUUUUAGUUCUAGAUACAUUCAUUUCUGCGACGAGUAAUUUGAAACAGAGGGAGUAUUUA
rnacentral:pre_miRNA from 1 species